rnacentral:rRNA from 1 species
ACGAGUUUGAUCAUGGCUCAGAUUGAACGCUGGCGGAAUGCUUUACACGAUGCAAGUCGAACGGUAGAGGGGGCAACCCUUGAGAGUGGCGAACGGGUGAGUAAUAUAUCGGAACGUGCCCAGUCGUGGGGAUAACGUAGCGAAAGUUACGCUAAUACCGCAUACGAUCUAAGGAUGAAANCGGGGGAUCGCAAGACCUCGCGCGAUUGGAGCGGCCGAUAUCAGAUUAGGGUAGUUGGUGAGGUAAAGGCUCACCAAGCCAACGAUCUGUAGCUGGUCUGAGAGGACGACCAGGCCACACUGGAACUGAGACACGGUCCAGACUCCUACGGGAGGCAGCAGUGGGGAAUUUUGGACAAUGGACGCAAGUCUGAUCCAGCCAUUCCGCGUGCAGGAUGAAGGCCCUCGGGUUGUAAACUGCUUUGUACGGAACGAAAAGGUUUGUCUUAAUACGAUGAGCUCAUGACGGUACCGUAAGAAUAAGCACCGGCUAACUACGUG